GGAAAGUUUUGUCUCUACUUGUUUGCUCCCCCUUCCUAGAUAAAGAAGGUCUCUCCAGACUUCAGGCAGUUGUUGGGGAAUGGACACAUUAGGAUGAGAGGUAGGUUCUGUAUUUGCAGGAAUUCCUACAGGCCAUGCUCUUCUACGUCUGGCCCAUGUUUGUGCCACUGACAACUUUUAUUCUGCCUCUUUUGGUUUUGUGUUACCAUGAAAACCAUGGAAUUCCAUUGAUGGGAUCCGUAUGGAUACAAGGAAUAUGAAAAGGAAAACAAACAAUAUAUCAAAGGACUGUCAAGAAUUUCAGUGUCCAAAUUUUCCAUGCUUGCCCCUUACAAGACUGCGUGUUCAUCACCAGACUCAAUUUCUCUUUCACUAAUGAUCCUUUCCUUGAGGGAGUGUCUAAUUAUCUGACCUCCCUGACUUGUCCUCUCUUCUCUUCUUUCCCUUCUGUGGCUAGAGGAUUUGGGGAUGGCCAUAAAUACUACAAAGGUCAAUGGUUCCAGCUUUCCUCAGGAAGCAGAAACAAAAGCAAACCCAUCCAAUCACUCUGAACACUCUUUAAAGUCUUGAAGAAAUAGUGGAAGGUUUGAGGUGAAGUUUUGUAACCUGUCUGGACCAGGAUACUCUUCCUUGACAUAAAUCAGGAGAGGAAACGCAACGUUUGGCUAAUCUGAGUAGGACUUUGAUGAUAAUUUGCCAAGAGAGAGAAGUUAAAGUAAGCGGUACAACAUGAAAUAACAGUAACUAAAAUUAAUGGAGCUGUAAAUGGGAUUGCAUUGUGCAGGGCCCCAACAUAUGGUUCAAAUUCAGCGCUUCCUCUGUAUCUGACAGAAUUCUUACAGCAAGAAUGCUUCUGAAGAACCGCCGCUGCACCCACCAUGAAAACACAGAGAAGAAAACCUCACCCCACGAUGUCUCUUCACCAUUCUUUUUCCUCCCAUGGUGACUGUGGUUUUAUUUAUGCUCUCAAUUAAACAUGGGUCUGAGUUUGCACUUGUAAAUGGAUUUAUCCAUCUUAUUUAUGGUAUAAACCUCAAGGCAUACAGUAGAAGGUCAUUUGGAUAGCAGAGUUGAGAUAUACUCCACAGCAAGAACCAUCUGAAAUGUAGACUGAUAGUAAGCAGAAUGUAGGCAGCUUGACAGAUAUUGGCAUGGAAUCUACAGGACGCACAAAUCUACCUAAAGAGGCAAAUGGAGGCCAACCAUACAAUUGCAAAACAACUCCAUUGGCCAAGUUUAGGAACCUUAGCAUACAGUUGUUGUCAAUAAAAGAGACAGAUGUCUUGGCUCUGAACGUAAUCAACUGAAAUCUAGUCAGUGCGGUCAGCAGUGCCUAGAGAGCUAUUCAUAGGAGUAAAUGUAGAGAUUCAACUCAGUUGCUUCAACAUAGGUAUCAGUGUUCUUUUGCCAUAUCCUCCCGUAUUUAAGGUAUUCACGCAAGACUGACAGAUACAAUUUGAGAGUAAUGAGAAAUGAAUGGUCUCUAGAAGCAGCAGCUAGGUACCAGGCAGGAUGCCAUAGAUACAUCUACGCUUUGGCAACCAAACCUCCAGGUGAUGUGCAAUCACAGGAACACACUCUGUGUGGACUGAACAACAAAUAAAUCAAGGUUAAAAGCAGCCCAUUAGCAAAGAUCUCAACCUCAGCUCCUUCUGCAUUAGCUAUGAAGAGUGUACAGCACACAGCAUGAAUGAAAAGCAUAUGAGUUUCAAAGCUCAUGAGUUAACCUGUUGCCAAGUUCAUUCUUCACCACGUAGACUAGACUGAAGCUACAAUUCUUCAGCCUAUGCCAAACACAGACCAACAUUUUGGCCUCGUUCUAAGUAAGGAGUGUAUAUCACGUUAACAGAAAUCUGGAAGGAACUAGGCCGGAUAGGAACGUCACUAAGAUGAAGAAUUCAUGCCUAUGUAUUAAUUCUACUAUUUCCAUAGCAUAUAAUUAUUACCAUCAGAGCGAAUAGUGAGCUAUCCCUCUUCCUCAAGCCUGCAGUGAGUCUGACUUCUGUAGCUGUGCUUAAUUGUUGCCAGGAAUCCCUGUAGCAGCAUUACCCUGUUUAAUAUUACAUGACAUGAGAAAAUUAAAUGAUCAAUAUCAAGUUAAGAGCACUCAGUUGUUCCUUCUUUACUUUUGUAAUUGCUAGUGUGAUGAGAAAAUAAUUAUGAUGUUGAGUUUAUUGCUAUUCUCAUUGUCCUCUGUUAGUGAUUCUUGUUGUUCAGCUACGGACAUGUCCAAUUUGAAUUGUCUAUAAUAUUGUUGCCCUGGAAGGAAAAAGAAAGGAAAGGGGAAGGGAUAGGAACUAUGAGAAAUUAAAGGCUGAUCUAAGAUUAACAAAGUGUUUACUUUGACUCUUGGCAAGGUCUGUUUGUAAAAGGACACUACAAAAGCAAAAAUCAUCUAGAGAGGAUUUGUUUAAAGUGACACUGUCAGCUUAAAUAUCACACUUCAAGAUCUUUUUUAACUUUAUGUUGUUAUAAGUAACGCCCAAACGAAUUAUAUCCUGUUAAUACCAUUGGAACACCUCAGAUUAUUACAGCUGACAGAGUAUAGAAAAAUAUUUCUCUCUAAGUUUUCAUUUGUUUUCAUUGCACUUGAUAGCUCUCUAUCCACGAGCACCAAGAUAUAUGGAAAGCCUACACACAAAAAGUGCCAUGUAAAAUAUUGCCCAAGUCUUCCAUAGCUUUUUAUUGAUGUGAACUCACCAACAGCUGAAUUUUUUUUUUUAAUUUCAUCACUUCCCUCUCCAUGUGUUAGGGUUCUUUCCCGUUGCUGGUAUGACUUCCUGACAGAGUAACAGAGAGAAAAAAAAAAUACCACCAAUGGAUUUAGAAAUAUAAUUUUUAAAACCAGCAGGGAAAAUAGAAAAACAGAAAUCCCCAUUAGACCUCAGCAGGAGCAGUUCUCCUUAGGGUCUUUGCUUUCGCCCAUGUGAGAACAAGAAUACCUACCUC
rnacentral:lncRNA from 1 species